rnacentral:rRNA from 1 species
GAUGAACGCUGGCGGCGUGCUUAACACAUGCAAGUCGAACGAAGCACUUUAUUUGAUUUCCUUCGGGACUGAUUAUUUUGUGACUGAGUGGCGGACGGGUGAGUAACGCGUGGGUAACCUGCCUUGUACAGGGGGAUAACAGUUGGAAACGGCUGCUAAUACCGCAUAAGCGCACAGCAUCGCAUGAUGCAGUGUGAAAAACUCCGGUGGUAUAAGAUGGACCCGCGUUGGAUUAGCUAGUUGGUGAGGUAACGGCCCACCAAGGCGACGAUCCAUAGCCGACCUGAGAGGGUGACCGGCCACAUUGGGACUGAGACACGGCCCAAACUCCUACGGGAGGCAGCAGUGGGGAAUAUUGCACAAUGGGCGAAAGCCUGAUGCAGCGACGCCGCGUGAGCGAAGAAGUAUUUCGGUAUGUAAAGCUCUAUCAGCAGGGAAGAUAAAGACGGUACCUGACUAAGAAGCACCGGCUAAAUACGUG